rnacentral:rRNA from 1 species
UACGUAGGGCGCAAGCGUUGUCCGGAAUUAUUGGGCGUAAAGAGCUCGUAGGCGGCCUGUUGCGUCCGCUGUGAAAUCCCGGGGCUCAACCCCGGGCGUGCAGUGGAUACGGGCUGGCUGGAGGCAGGCAGGGGAGAACGGAAUUCCUGGUGUAGCGGUGAAAUGCGCAGAUAUCAGGAGGAACACCGGUGGCGAAGGCGGUUCUCUGGCCUGUACUGACGCUGAGGCGCGAAAGCUAGGGGAGCAAACAGG